GCCUGCGUAGCUCAAUCGGUAGAGCGUGAGACUCUUAAUCUCAAGGCUGCGGGUUCGACCCCCGCCGUGGGCU
rnacentral:tRNA from 3 species